rfam:Chelonia mydas contig171096, whole genome shotgun sequence.
CCCCGCAACCAUCAAGUCUUUGGCAUCAUUAUCCUCUUCACUAAAUCCUACUGGAUACAAGGCGGAAAACGGUGAACAC